GCUGACGUAUUAAUCUAAUUAAAAAAUGUCAAAUCUCGUUUAAACACUAGCCAUACGGGGAAGAGUCGUGGAAUCUAAACUGUAGUAGAAUACGAAUUUAUAUUCCACGGAGUGUAAUAUGAACAAAAUUAUGUGUCUAUGGAUACGUCUAUAGUAAUGAUAAUAGUAAUAAAAAUAAGGUUUAUUGUGGAUCUAUAUGUUGGGAUACAUUAAUUCAACAAAAAAAUGCCAACCAUAAAUUAGAACUGGAAAAUUUUAAACUGAAACAGUCUUUGGAGAGGGCAGAACUGGAAUAUCACGGAACCAAAAAACUCUCAGCUCGAGAAGCUCUCGAACUCUUCGAAAAACGUCAUGUUUUCAAGAACAAAAAUAAAAAUUUUAGUCCACUAGAAAAGUGAAGAUUAUUCUUAAUUGAAGAUGUGGGAAAAGAGUUUCAGAAAUGAGUGUUCCAUGCAAAGUGUAAUACUCCUGUUCCAGACAUUCCUACUCGCAUCUACGAUAUCGUCAGUGAGGGAAUCAACUAUUUAUUUCGAAGAAUAAAUGAAAAAAAAUUAUCUGAUAAAAUCAGAACUAAGUCAUUGUAUCUCGUGUUUCUUCAAACUGUCUGCUCAGCAGUCCCGCUUAGCCCCUCUGAUGUUAGAAAAUAGUCUCAAUUCGUUUUCUCGCCUAGAAGAAAAACUUAAUAUACCUAUCAUACUUGUUAUUUUUUUUUAAUAAAAAAUUUAUAGCAACUGCAA